GUCUCUCCUAAAGAUAUUAUGCAUAAGUGCACAGCACAUACACACAGGAUGUUCAUGGCAACACUGUGAGUCAUAAUGACCUCAACGUCUACCAUCACAAGACUGGCAAAGUAUAUUAUGAUACACCUACACCUUGGAAAGGUAGGCAGCCAGGAAAAAGAAUGAGGAAAGUAUGUAAGUGGUAAAGAGGAAUAUCACUUGGAUACACCAUGGAGUGCACCAAGAAAGAUUUGUCAAACAAAUUAUACAUGGGUCUCACUAUGUAGCCAAGGCUGUCCUGGAACUCGUGAGCUUCCUGCUUCAGCCUCCUAGGUGUUGGGAUCACAGGUGCGCACCACCACACCCAGCUUCAUGCUCUUGAUUUUGCAGAUAGAACUGAGAAACCUUUUCCCCCAAAUAAUGGAACUGACCAACAAGGAAAACUCACCAGCAAGGGCCAUACACAAGUAAAAAGAACUCUUUGCUGCUGCUGGUGUAGACUCAGACAAGGUUAAUGGACCAAGAUAAACAUUCUCCUUCGCCUCCUGAGCAUCAAACGGGAAACACAGGCCACACAAAGCCCUAUCUUAAAUUCUGCUGUUGUGAGUGGAAGAUUCUGAGCACACUUCGCUCAGGGUAACGUGGGCUGGGGGUGAGCAGGAUUCAGCCGGGGCUCAUAGGUCUCAGGUCUGCCAGGAAGGCCUCGCCCAGGCGGGAAGUGCCUUCCACCUGAAGUGUUUGCCCCUGAAUGGAGAGAAUCUUCCCUGACCAGGAAGCUUGCUGGGCACACCUAGCUUCUUUUCGAAAAUUCUCAUGGCACUUUCCAGAAACAAAUAGAUCUGGAAUUAGAAAAAUGCCAUCUGAUUAAAAUAUAAAUAAACUUUACCAUGCAAAGUUGCUCAGUAGAAGAGGCUCAGGGUAGAUCUGGGUUCUAAGGCCAGGCUUUCCCCUCCCUCCCCAUGUGAAUCUUUAAGACAAGCUAUCUUCCUGUCUGCCCAUCCUGGGGAUCAAGCCUACAGCCUCACUCACUAACACGGGUUCCACCGGAGCCAUGGCCCAGCCCCAAUCUUCGCCUCUGCAGCCUCAGUCUCCACAUCUGUAAAUGGAAUAAUAACAGACCUCGGGAAGCCUGGCAAGGUAGCACACACCUGUAAGCCCAGCACGCGGGAGGCUGAGGCAGGCAGGAGGAUCACGAGUUCAAGGCCAACCUGGGUAACAUAGCCUGGGGUAAUGUGAGGAUUCUAUGUCUACGCAUGUGGACAGCCAGCCUGGAUGAAGCUUGGCUUGCGGUUCUUGCUAAUCAGACCAAAGUGCAGACCCAAAAGUGUCCCGGCGAGCUGCAGAGACCAUUUAGUCAGCGCUUCCCAUGGCCCAGAACAGUGUCGGAGACGAGAGUCAGAGAGGUGAGGCGCUGUCCACGACGUCCACCUCAGAGGCAGUGCUGGGCGCCCCAGCUGGUCACCUCCUCAGGCUGCCUUCAGGUUCUUGGCUUCCUGUUCUACGCUUUGAGUCCCAAGACCAUCAAACUGUGGGCAUCACCUCUGGCUGGCUUCCGUGUUGUUCCCGAGCCUCUGUCAUCAUUGGUAUAAUUUUACAUCAACUUG
ensembl:lncRNA